rfam:Bradyrhizobium sp. BR 10245 contig75, whole genome shotgun sequence.
GAGGCCAGAGGUCAACGCCCGACAGCGCUGUGCGCCCUCGGGCGUAAAGGUG